CAAUAGCGUAUAUUUAAGUUGUUGCAGUUAAAAAGCUCGUAGUUGGAUUUCGGGUGGGACGCAGCGGUCUCGCAUUGCGUUUGUACUGCUGCAGCCCUCCUUCUUGCCGGGGGCGGCCUCUCGGACUUCACUGUCUGGGGGUCAGAAUCGGCGAUGUUACUUUGAGUAAAUUAGAGUGUUCAAAGCAAGCUUACGCUCUGAAUAUAAUAGCAUGGGAUAACACGACAGGACUCUGGCCUAUCGUGUUGGUCUAUAGGACCAGAGUAAUGAUUAAGAGGGACAGUCGGGGGCAUUCGUAUUCCGUUGUCAGAGGUGAAAUUCUUGGAUUUACGGAAGACGAACAUCUGCGAAAGCAUUGCCAAGGAUGUUUUCAUUGA
rnacentral:rRNA from 1 species